rnacentral:rRNA from 1 species
CAGUAGCCGCGGGAAAACGGAGGGGGCUAGCGUUGUCCGGAAUUACUGGGCGUAAAGGGCUCGCAGGCGGUUUCUUAAGUCUGAUGUGAAAGCCCCCGGCUCAACCGGGGAGGGUCAUUGGAAACUGGGAAACUUGAGUGCAGAAGAGGAGAGUGGAAUUCCACGUGUAGCGGUGAAAUGCGUAGAGAUGUGGAGGAACACCAGUGGCGAAGGCGACUCUCUGGUCUGUAACUGACGCUGAGGAGCGAAAGCGUGGGGAGCGAACAGGAUUAGAUACCCGUGUAGUCCCUGUCUCUUAUAC